rnacentral:rRNA from 1 species
GCGAUCAUUCCAGCACUAAUGCACCGGAUCCCAUCAGAACUCCGCAGU